GCACUACUAGGCUCGCGCGCGCAUGACCUCACCUGCCGCCGCCGCCGCUCGCCCGCCGCCGCUUGCCCGCCGCCGCUCGCCUGCCGCUCGCCUGCCGCCGCCGCCGCCGCCGCGGCUGCUCGCCUGCCGCCGUGCCGCUCCCCUCGCUCGGCACACCAGGCCACCUUCUCCCCUCUUCUCUCCUCUCAUCUCCAGGCCACCCACCGCCUCCCUCUUCCUCUCCCUAUCCUCGGUGAGCUACAGAUCCGGUUCGGGGGUCAUCGGAAUCGAUGGUCUCGGCCAUUGGUCUCCUCGCCGGUGAAUCGUUUUGAUACCCUUCUGCAUACAUUUAGCACAAAAUCCACAUGGUUCUGUGGAGAAAUUGAUGGGCUAGGAUGAGGUGUAAGUCGCAGAUUACAGAGAGGACGACUUUCAUUCUGCGCAUCUACCGUCAUACUGAGCAAGUUAUCGAGCUUUCUCCUCUCUUAAUCAGGGCUGCGAUAUUUAGAUUAUGGUGAGUUUUUCU
rnacentral:lncRNA from 1 species